UGGGGAAUAUUGGGCAAUGGAGGGAACUCUGACCCAGCCAUGCCGCGUGCAGGAUGAAGGCGUUAUGCGUUGUAAACUGCUUUUUAUAUAGGAAGAAAUAGUCCUUGCGAGGAAAGUUGACGGUACUAUAUGAAUAAGCACCGGCUAACUCCGUGCCAGCAGCCGCGGUAAUACGGAGGGUGCAAGCGUUGUCCGGAUUUAUUGGGUUUAAAGGGUGCGUAGGCGGUUUAUUAAGUCAGUGGUGAAAGACGGUCGCUCAACGAUUGCAGUGCCAUUGAUACUGGUAGACUUGAGUAUGAUUGAGGUAGCUGGAAUGGAUAGUGUAGCGGUGAAAUGCAUAGAUAUUAUCCAGAACACCAAUUGCGUAGGCAAGUUACUAAGUCAUAACUGACGCUGAGGCACGAAAGUGUGGGUAUCAAACAGGAUUAGAUACCCCUGUAGUCCCUGAGCGGGCUGGCAAGGCGCAU
rnacentral:rRNA from 1 species